GCAAAUCGGCGGUGGGUAUGUUGCUGCCCUUUCUUGAACGCUUUCCCGCUAAGGUCUGCUCCGAUUUCAAUCUCGGAUUAGGGCUUCCGAUCCUCUGGUGACGGGUCUUUGAGGCCUCUAGUUGGUCUCGAGAAGACGCCUGUCGCAUCCUCGAGCGAAUCGCGAAGCGAAGCCCUCCACGAUCUGGAUAGAUGGUUGAUUAGCAGGAAAGUGCUGCGGAUGCUUUGGAUUUGUGUCGGAGUUGUUACUCGACCAGAAGAUUUGGAUUUUCUGAUGCUCUUUUUUUUGUUGGAUCUGUUUUUUCCGAUGAUCCUUGGAAAAUUUUGUCAUGGUGAUUACCUUAAUCUUUUUCCAGACAUGAAAUUUUGAGAACUAAAUGACCGUAUGUAUCUUGAAGACUAGUACAGGAACCGGAGGAACAGGUGAUGGGAACAUCUGGUACCAGGCUGCGAUUCUUUGCUCCGGGAAGAUUCACGUGUGGGUUUUCUUGCCGACCUCCAGCAUUAGUCUCACAGUCUGCACUAGCGGUAGUGCGAAAAGGGUUUUUGAUACUGUGUUGGCCAUCCACCUACAACCUAGCAGCUGAUGCUGAACAUUUCCGAAACUCCCAAGCACAACGGUCCUCCUGUCUCAGAAUGGCUAUGGGAUGCCAUUUGUGGUUGUGCCGCAACCAUCAAGGAAACUCAUCAAGGACCAAAUCUUUUGCAGAGGGGACCGGUGAUGCAUAUCUCCACGGUAGCUGUUGAUGAUGAUGUUAAUCCAUGCACUCCAUCAUCCGUCGCCAUCCUGGAAUGGCACUGGAGGAGGCCCCCGCGGGCUGAAGACUGCUUUAAGAUUUUACAAUGCGUGAACUGCAGAAUGAUUGUCCUGUUUCUGAUAUGGACAUUCCUCAGCUCGCGAUGUCUUGUCAUCGGUCAUGGUUUCUUUUGAACAGGCUUCGAUUGGGUAUAUUAUAUUCAUAUCUCAGAGAACAAAACAGGUCAGUACUUUUUGUUUCCUUAAUGUUCUACCCUAUUCAAAGUGGAGUAUUUAUUUACUUGUUUUGGCUAGAAUUGCACUAUUUAGAUUAAUUAAAUGAUACCAGAAGCUUUUUUUUAAUGACUUAAAUAACCUAAUAUCAUUUUUCCUUGCGUGCUGGUUGCGUAUGUUUAUUAGCUUUAUAUUAGCUUUAUAUGGUUAUUAUUAUGUCUAUUGUGUAUGUUUACAUGCUUCUUAUUUGUAGUGGCACACUUGUUCGAAUAAUCAUGAAACAAAAUCACGCAAAUCCUUGCCUGCUGAUUAAUCUAAAUUUUUUGGGUUUAUACUCUUCAUCCCGAUGCAUUCAAGUCUUUAGUAGUACAGAGUGAUCUAUAUAUAUCUAUUAAUCUUCUUAAAUUUCACAUGAAGUUGAAGAUCAUAUGCGUCUUCGUCUAUGUCCACUCACGCAACUUCUACUUGAACACCUUAACUUGUCCUGUCUUGAUAUGUGGUGGGAAAAACAUGUUAAAGCGGAAUAAUUCUUUCUCUCUUUGUGUAUCAAAAUAGGUUUUUUAUCAAAAUACCAACUUGAUAUCCAAAUGCAAAUAUUAACCAGCAUAGCAUAAACAAUAGAGCAAAAAAUAAAUCACACAGUGAGACCAAAUCUUUUAAUGUGGAAAACCCAAUGUGGGAAAAACCACGGGACCGUAGUCCACCUCAAACUUCCACUAUCAAUAAUAAUGAUAACGAGUUUACAGUAGGUCUUCUCUAGAAUAACUAGAGCAUCAGAAUAACAUUAAGAUCAUAGAUCUUGGCUCAAGAAAAGCAUGUCUUUAUCAUGUCGGAUGGAUCUCCUCAAAAAAGAAUUCUAAGUAUAUAUUUCCUGUUUCAAGCCCGAUUCCUGUAGAAACUUUUUCAUCCAUAAAGUUUCCUUACAGGCUUCAGUAACUGCUAUGUAUUCUGCUUAUGUGGUUGAUAGAGCAACACAUUUCUGUAACUUAGACUGCCAAGAGACUGCUCCUCCUGCAAAUGUUAUUAAGAAUCCCGAAGUGGACUUCCUGGAAUCAGUAUCACCUGCCAUGUCUGCAUAUGUGUAACCUUAUAACACAGGUUCAUCACUGCCAAAACAUAAACACAACCUAGAAGUACCUCUUAGAUAUCUUAAUAUCCAUUUCACUACUGCCCAAUGUUCCUUUCCAGGAUUUGAGAGAAAUCGGCUGACAACUCCAACUGCAUGAGCAAUAUCUGGCCUAGUACAAACCAUAUUAUACAUCAAACUGCCUACUGCAGAUGAGUAAAGCACUCUGGACAUUUCUUCUUUUUCUUUCUCACUUGUAGGAUAUUGUUUCGAACUAAGCUUGAAAUGACCUGCAAGUGGGGAACAAACUAGUUUGGCUUUACUCAAGUUGAAUCUUUCAAGAACAUUUUCAAUAUAAGUCUCCUUAGAUAGCCAAAUCUUCUUUUUCUUCCUAUCACGAAAAAUCUUCAUGCCAAGUAUUUGUUUCACCGAUCCCAAGUCUUUCAUGGCAAAAGACUUACUUAGCUCUUUUUUAAGCUUUCCAAUUUUUUCAAUAUCAU